UGGGGAAUCUUGCACAAUGGGCGAAAGCCUGAUGCAGCAACGCCGCGUGCGGGAAGACAGCCCUAGGGUUGUAAACCGCUUUCAGCAGGGAAGAAACUGACGGUACCUGCAGAAGAAGAUGCGGCCAACUACGUGCCAGCAGCCGCGGUGACACGUAGGCAUCAAGCGUUAUCCGGAUUUAUUGGGCGUAAAGAGCUCGUAGGCGGUUCGGUAAGUCGGGUGUGAAAACUCUGGGCUCAACCCAGAGAGGCCACUCGAUACUGCUGUGACUAGAGUGCGGUAGGGGAGCGGGGAAUUCCUGGUGUAGCGGUGAAAUGCGCAGAUAUCAGGAGGAACACCAGUGGCGAAGGCGCCGCUCUGGGCCGUAACUGACGCUGAGGAGCGAAAGCAUGGGUAGCAAACAGGAUUAGAUACCCUGGUAGUCCACGCCGUAAACGAUGAGUGCUAGAUGUUGGGA
rnacentral:rRNA from 1 species